rnacentral:rRNA from 1 species
AGUGAACGCUGGCGGUAGGCCUAACACAUGCAAGUCGAACGGCAGCACAGUAAGAGCUUCCUCUUACGGGUGGCUAGCGGCGGACGGGUGAGGCAUACAUCGGAAUCUACUUUUUCGUAGUGGAUAACGUAGGGAAACUUACGCUAAUACCGCAUACGACCUACGGAUGAAAGCAGGCGAUCUUCGGACCUUGCGCGAUUGAAUGAGCCGAUGUCGGAUGAGCUAGUUGGCGGGGUAAAGGCCUACCAAGGCGACGGUCCGUAGCUGGUAUGAGGGGAUGAUCCGCCAGACUGGAACUGAGACACGGUCCAGACACUUACGGGAGGCAGCGGUGGGGAAUAUUGGACGAUGGGCGCAAGCCUGAUCCAGCCAUACCGGGGGAGUGAAGAAGGCCUUAGGGUUGUAAAGCGCUUUUGUUGGGAGAGAAAAGAAGCAGGUUAAUCCCCCGCUGUUAUGACGGUACCCAAAGAAUAAGCACCGGCUAACUUCGUG